UUGAAGUCCACAAAAUAUGUAGGACAAGAGGAGCUAGCCUUACAUCUGAAGAGGAGCUUGGUAAUGGUAAAGGGAAGGCUUUAGUUCUAGCAAUUCUUGACUAUUAUAUCAGCAUGUGCAUAGUGAUAUUUUCAUCUUUGCAACUCUAAGAAAUAUGCACAAUGCUUUGAUAAGUUCCAUAUGUCCUUUGUAUUUGUUGGAUUAUUCAUUUAAUAUGUAGUUUUUGGUAAAAGCAAUUUUUUAUCUGGAGAUGAUUCUUGAGGAGCUGCAAAAGUACGUGUUUCAUAUCCUUGAUGCAAAUGCAAGAUGGGAUUUGUUGCGAUCCAAAUAUGCAUGGGACUGAGUGGUGGGUCGAAGCAAACCUAUUUAUUAGCUAUGUCAUUAUCUUAUCUACGUCCUUAAUUAUAUCUGAUUUU